UUUAAAAUUGCACGCUGAACCAGCGUCGAUGAUAAGUAGACAGAAAAAACAUUUCCGGCCAAUACUUUGAAAACAUCGCCUGUGGAGAACAUCCUGUGGACCAGUCCACUCCCCUCCUUACCGGUGGAGGAGUCCGGUCUUCCCUCCGGUACCCCCGGGAGCGCGCAAAAUGAGACGUUCCUGUGGUUGUUCCAUCAGAGUGGGACGAGCGCACGUCAACUCCAUCAGCUGAAAGCAGACAUCAGAUAAAGUACCUUUGACGGGAGGCUGUCGGAUGACCUGACCUCAUUGGUUGGCCACCUGUCAGGUAUCCUGGUGGGUCUGCUCUACACUCAGGGUCCGCUGAAGACCAUCAAGACGACAUGUGCAGAGUUUGUGUCUUCCAAUGGGAAGGACAAUGUCUCAUGGCAAUGAGUACAUACUUCACCUCUUCAGGUACGACAGUAUUUGAGAAAAACAUACAUCACAAAUACAGUGUGGUCUAUAACCUACACAGUUUGUAUGAAAUCACUUACUUGUUAACUCAAAAACACUGAGGGAACCACCAUACAGCGCUGUCCAAACUGAGCUCCCCCAGAGUGAAGCCAGAACACCUGGGUCGCCCCCUGGUGGCCCCGAUGUACCAGCCCCCUGACGAGGAGGUGAACCUUGAAGAGGUUGAGGAGAUUGAGGAGAUUGGAGCAAAGAGUUUCCAACCAGAGGGGAAGAAGAAGAAGAAGACUGAAUGAGAAGGCGUGGUCACGGUGCCUUCAGUGUCUUGUCGUGUGGUGUUGAACGUUAGCUGCUCGCCUUCACUCUGCCUCUAUGGCUCGACACACCGUAUCCCUCACCUGAUC